rnacentral:rRNA from 1 species
AUUGAACGCUGGCGGAAUGCUUUACACAUGCAAGUCGAACGGCAGCACGGACUUCGGUCUGGUGGCGAGUGGCGAACGGGUGAGUAAUAUAUCGGAACGUGCCCAGUCGUGGGGGAUAACGUAGUGAAAAUUACGCUAAUACCGCAUACGAUCUAUGGAUGAAAGCGGGGGAUCGCAAGACCUCGCGCGAUUGGAGCGGCCGAUAUCAGAUUAGGUAGUUGGUGAGGUAAAGGCUCACCAAGCCGACGAUCUGUAGCUGGUCUGAGAGGACGACCAGCCACACUGGAACUGAGACACGGGACAGACUCCUACGGGAGGCAGCAGUGGGGAAUUUUGGACAAUGGACGCAAGUCUGAUCCAGCCAUUCCGCGUGCAGGACGAAGGCCUUCGGGUUGUAAACUGCUUUUGUACAGAACGAAAAGGUCUCUAUUAAUACUAGGGGCUCAUGACGGUACUGUAAGAAUAAUCACCGGCUAACUACGUGCCAGCAGCCGCCGUAA